rnacentral:rRNA from 1 species
ACGCUCGACACCUACGGGGGCAGCAGUAGGGAAUCUUCCACAAUGGGCGCAAGCCUGAUGGAGCAACACCGCGUGAGUGAAGAAGGGUUUCGGCUCGUAAAGCUCUGUUGUUGGAGAAGAACGUGCGUGAGAGUAACUGUUCACGCAGUGACGGUAUCCAACCAGAAAGUCACGGCUAACUACGUGCCAGCAGCCGNGGUAAUCUGAGCGGCGUGGACAACGGC